GUCCCUAUCUCUUAAGAGGUCCAGAGUCUUGGAAAGUCCACAGUACUUUGAAAGCUUGAUGUUUCCUUACUGCCACCAAAGGAGUGUAGGAAAAAUCUGAAAUCCCCCAGAUUGGAAAAUAUCCUGUGAAUACACAUUUUUCUGACUGCUCCAUGUCAUCAGAUGUCUUUAUCUUCAGCUGCAGUUCUCUGAGAGAUACUGGGGUAUGCAGGAUGCAGAAGAAGGUCUUAGUUUCACUGCACAGUUUGACAGACAGCUGUCAGGUGAGAUUUACGAAAACGUAUGAACCCAAAGUAUGCCAUGAGGACUCUGGGAUAUCCCCAUCCCUAUAAGACUCUGGAAGAAAUAUAACCAUGGGUCAGAUUCCUCCUGCCCUGCUUGGUACUGGAAUAAAAUGUGUCUUCCACCACCUAACUCGUGGGGCUUCUCACUCAGGCAAAUCUUGCUAUGAUGCUUUCUCUUCAAGAGUGCCACCAUGCAGACAAGAAAGGGAGCCUGGAGCAAGACUACACAUCCCAGUAUGUCCCACACCAUAUGGGAUGGUGCGGGAGACAUCUGCCCAGUGCUUGAUCAGUCGGUUUGGGGAGUGUCUCCCAGCUGCACUCCUGACUCUCCUCUCUUGUGGCCUACUAUUUUUCUGUUGUUUUUCAUGUUGCAGUGUCAUCCUCCAGAGGCACUUACAGCUUUAUAUGUUUACUUUCCACCUUUCCCACCCUUUGUUGGGCAUUGUCACCCAACAGAAGUCUGGAAAAAAGAAGGUCAUUGAAGGCCAGAUGGAAGAUUUCCCUGAUAUCGGUAGCAGCAAGCAUAAUAAGAGACUUGGCUUUAACUUCUGCAGUACAGCAGAGGAACCUUCUGAAAUGGAGAUGGUUUUAGCAGCACAAGAAUUGUCCUUGGCAUGCAAGCCCAUGAACUAUACUCACUCUUUUUGGUAUGAUUGAGAAGAAACUGGAGAUGGAAGCAUACUCUGUGACCUGGAACAGCUGGUGGUACCAUGAAAGGAAGUGAUAUUGGGACUCAUAGCUGUUGGAGUGGGUUUGUACUGAGGCCAGAGCUGCUGUGCAGAUCUGCUCACAAGCUGGAAAAACAACCAGUGGGCCUAUUAUUACUGUUAUUAUUGGAGAGGGUAAGAAAAAGGCAUACGUCCAUUUCAGAGCUUAAAAGCAUUAACAAUCUCCCUAAUAUGCAGUGCUGUUCUUGCUGACAUGAUUAGUUUUCAAAAGAGUCUGCAUGAUCAUCAGAUUUUGAAAAUAUCAGAAAUUAUUUCCUAGAAACCUUCCUUUACAAAAUUGGUUAGUUAAAUGUUGUGUAAAUUAUACUCCUGUUGUUUUAAUCCACGGGCUAUUAGCAGACAUUGGGGUAUCACAGUAAUGCUGUGCACAGAGAAUCAAUUUAUGAUUAUCCUGUACUGUUUUUCAAUGACCUGAAAUUGUGCACUGAACAGGAACAUAUAUUGUUUUAAUUAUCUUGGUCACACUCUCAGCUUUAUAAAACUUGCUGCAGGUUCAUCAACUCAGAUCCAGGUAUAAUUCAUAUUGGUCACAAGAAUAUUAUUUAAGAAUAUAAUGGCACC
ensembl:lncRNA